CCCCAGUAGCGGCGAGCGAAGCGGCAAAAGCUCAGAUUUGAAAUCUGGCCGCCCACGGCGGUCCGAGUUGUAAUCUGCAGGCAGGUUCUCUGGCGAGCGCGCGCCACCUAAGUCUCCCUGGAACGGGGUGCCAUAGAGGGUGAGAGCCCCGUGAGGAGGGGCGCGCGAGCCUAUGUGAGGCCUGUCCGACGAGUCGAGUAGUUUGGGAAUGCUGCUCUAAAUGGGAGGUAUAUUCCUUCUAAAGCUAAAUAUAGGCCAGAGACCGAUAGCGCACAAGUAGAGUGAUCGAAAGGUGAAAAGCACUUUGAAAAGAGAGUGAAAUAGUACGUGAAAUCGUUGCAGGGGAAGCGCUGGUUACCAGUCGCGCACCGGGGGAUCAGCCGCCGCCUCGGCGACGGUGUACUCCCUCCGGCUGCGGGUCAGCAUCGGCUCUCGCGGCGGGAUAAUUGCCAGGGGAACGUGGCCCGCCCUUCGGGGAGGGUGUUAUAGCCCCUGGCGCAGUACCGCCCGCGGGGGCUGAGGAUAUUCGCGCUUCGGCUCGGAUGCUGGCAUAAUGGUCAUCAGCGUCCCGUCUUGAAACACGGACCAAGGAGUCAAGCACUGCUGCGAGUGUUAGGGUGUCAAACCCGACCGCGCAAUGAAAGUGAAAACCUUCUGGGUGGGAACCCCUCACGGGGGGCACCACCGGCCGGGCCUGAAGCUUCUGCAGAGGGACCUGAGUAAGAGCAUCAGUGCUUGGACCCGAAAGAUUGCGAACUAUGCCUGUGUAGGGUGAAGCCAGAGGAAACUCUGGUGGAGGCUCGCAGCGGUUCUGACGUGCAAAUCGAUCGUCU
rnacentral:rRNA from 1 species